CUGCGGUAAUACGUAGGGGGCGAGCGUUAUUCGGAAUUACUGGGUGUAAAGGGUAUGUAGGCGGCCCUUCAAGUCGCGUGUCAAAGUCCAGUGCUCAACGCUGGGUGUGCGCGCGAUACUGACGGGCUUGAGGGCUGGAGAGGUGAGCGGAAUUCCCGGUGUAGUGGUAAAAUACGUAGAGAUCGGGAGGAACACCAGCGGCGCAGGCGGCUCACUAGACAGUUUCUGACGCUAAGAUACGAAAGCGUGGGGAGCAAACA
rnacentral:rRNA from 1 species